rnacentral:rRNA from 1 species
UACGGAGGGUGCAAGCGUUAUCCGGAAUCACUGGGUUUAAAGGGUGCGUAGGCGGCUUGGUAAGUCAGGGGUGAAAGCCUCCCGCUCAACGGGAGGACUGCCUUUGAUACUGCCGGGCUUGAAUCAGGCCGAGGGCGGCGGAAUGUGGCAUGUAGCGGUGAAAUGCAUAGAUAUGCCAUAGAACACCGAUUGCGAAGGCAGCUGCCUGGGCCUGGAUUGACGCUGAGGCACGAAAGCGUGGGGAGCGAACAGG